GCGUCCGCAUGCCUGUACGGCGAGUGAGCGGCAUAGCUCAAAUUUGAAAGCUGGCCUUCGGGUCCGCGUUGUAAUUUGUAGAGGAUGCUUUGGGGUGGCCGCCUGUCUAAGUUCCUUGGAACAGGACGUCAUAGAGGGUGAGAAUCCCGUAUGUGACAGGAAAUGGCGCCCUAUGUAAAGCUCCUUCGACGAGUCGAGUUGUUUGGGAAUGCAGCUCUAAAUGGGAGGUAAAUUUCUUCUAAAGCUAAAUACUGGCGAGAGACCGAUAGCGCACAAGUAGAGUGAUCGAAAGAUGAAAAGCACUUUGGAAAGAGAGUUAAAAAGCACGUGAAAUUGUUGAAAGGGAAGGGCUUGCAAUCAGACUUGUCCAAACCGUUCGGCCGGUCUUCUGACCGGUUUACUCGGUUUGGACAGGCCAGCAUCAGUUUCGGCGGCCGGAUAAAGGCUCUGGGAAUGUGGCCUCCACUUCGGUGGAGGUGUUAUAGCCCAGUGUGUAAUACGGCCAGCCGGGACUGAGGUCCGCGCUUCGGCUAGGAUGCUGGCGUAAUGGUUGUAAGCCGCCCGUCUUGA
rnacentral:rRNA from 1 species